rnacentral:tRNA from 1 species
GGGCUCUUAGUUCAGUCUGGCAGAACGCCUGCUUCGCAAGCAGGAGGCCUCGGGUUCAAAUCCCGAAGGGUCCA